UACAGGGGGGGCAAGCGUUGUUCGGAAUUACUGGGCGUAAAGGGCGCGUAGGCGGCUCAUGAAGGCUGUGGUGAAAGUCCGGGGCUCAACCUCGGAUCGGCCGUGGCGACUCGUGGGCUGGAGCACUGUAGAGGCGGGUGGAAUUCCGGGUGUAGCGGUGGAAUGCGUAGAGAUCCGGAAGAACACCAGUGGCGAAGGCGGCCCGCUGGGCAGUGGCUGACGCUGAGGCGCGACAGCGUGGGGAGCAAACAGG
rnacentral:rRNA from 1 species